GAUGGCUGGAGGUUGAAGGAGAAGCUGACGUGUGGGACCCACAUGUCAGCGAACGGAGGAAGAAAGAAGCAGCAAAGGUGUUCUGGUCCAUAUAGAAGAUGCGUACGCGUACAGUGGCGUGACAGUGGGCCUAGGAAUAAAAAAACAUAGAAAAUGGCAAGGAAUAGGUAGACAAAGAAUUAUAAUAGCAAGUUUCAGAAUAGGUAAAUUAUAAUAGUAGAUCUCAAAACUUCAAAAAAUAUAAUGGCAUGGCUGCAAUUAACCCUAAAAAAGCUAUAGAAAUUAUAGGU
rnacentral:lncRNA from 1 species